AUACGUAGGGAGCGAGCGUUGUCCGGAAUUACUGGGUGUAAAGGGAGCGUAGGCGGGAGUGCAAGUCAGAUGUGAAAUACAUGGGCUCAACCCAUGGGCUGCGUUUGAAACUGCAUUUCUUGAGUGAAGUAGAGGUAAGCGGAAUUCCUGGUGUAGCGGUGAAAUGCGUAGAUAUCAGGAGGAACACCGGUGGCGAAGGCGGCUUACUGGGCUUUUACUGACGCUGAGGCUCGAAAGCGUGGGGAGCAAACAGGAUUAGAUACCCUGGUAGUCCACGCUGUAAACGAUGAUUACUAGGUGUGGGGGGACUGACCCCUUCCGUGCCGCAGUUAACACAAUAAGUAAUCCACCUGGGGAGUACGGCCGCAAGGUUGAAACUCAAAUGAAUUGACGGGG
rnacentral:rRNA from 1 species